rnacentral:rRNA from 1 species
GAUGAACGCUGGCGGCGUGCCUAAUACAUGCAAGUCGAGCGAACAGACGAGGAGCUUGCUCCUCUGACGUUAGCGGCGGACGGGUGAGUAACACGUGGAUAACCUACCUAUAAGACUGGGAUAACUUCGGGAAACCGGAGCUAAUACCGGAUAAUAUAUUGAACCGCAUGGUUCAAUAGUGAAAGACGGUUUUGCUGUCACUUAUAGAUGGAUCCGCGCCGCAUUAGCUAGUUGGUAAGGUAACGGCUUACCAAGGCAACGAUGCGUAGUCGACCUGAGAGGGUGAUCGGCCACACUGGAACUGAGACACGGUCCAGACUCCUACGGGAGGCAGCAGUAGGGAAUCUUCCGCAAUGGGCGAAAGCCUGACGGAGCAACGCCGCGUGAGUGAUGAAGGUCUUCGGAUUGUAAAACUCUGUUAUUAGGGAAGAACAAAUGUGUAAGUAACUAUGCACGUCUUGACGGUACCUAAUCAGAAAGCCACGGCUAACUACGUG